UCGCCAAGCUCCCACAUAUAUUUGUAAUAUCCCUUUCUUUUAUGCAUAUUUGGGGUGUGCCCUCUAGUUUUUUUAUUUUAUAAGUCAAAACAUGAUUUUUGAUAGGUUAAUUCCCAAUACUGUAACCAAAUAGAAAAGGAAGCUAUAUACAGAGAUGUAUGUGUUGCUUUCAUGGCAGGUUCAUGUGAAGUUAAAAAGAUUUGACUUUAUGGCAUGGAGAUCGAAUCUCUUGGAAGGGAAAUGACAGAGCUGCUCACCAAAUUUCCAUUCGGAGAUGGGUUUUGUGAUUCACUUGCUGUAAUUUGUGCAAAUAUUCUGCACUUAACUUCCACAUUGCUUCUUAUUUCCUUAUUGCUAAUGGACAUUUUGAGGCAUGGCUUCAUUCAUGGAACGCGCACUGUUGGAAGCAUGAUGUUACCUCCAGGCGUUAUUUGUUCACCACUGGAAUGGUUCUUCAACAUGCAAAACCAUUGAACCAGCUACCACUAGUUGGACCCUUGAUCUCUCCUCCCGUUAAUGCAUAUUGCUGUUGCCAAGGUUGCAGUGAGAGCAGCAACUUAAGUUUUCCCCCCAGGCAUCGUAGCUGUCAAUGGAAUACAACAAUUUAGCCCGCAAAGGUCAAGAUAGAUCAGUUGAACUUUGAGUUUUGCGCUGUUUCCUAUUGUUUCCAUCGUGGCAAAUAUUGCUCGAGACACUCUUUCAGUUUUUGGAAAGUUACAGGCUUUGAAAUAAACGAGUCCAUGCCAUUUGCAGAACACUCAUCAGCACUCUCUGACAAUGCAUUUGCUGUCAUCUGCAUUUAUGCGUAACAUAUUUUUGUCAGCGUGUGCAUAACAUGAAGACUAUCUGCUGGGAUAAUAUGAGCUUAAGCUUGAUUAUUAAGAGGCAGUUAAAGUGAUGAACUCACUGCAAUUAUGGGGAUACGAUUUGGAGGUGUACAAUCUGGUUGUAAUGAAUCAGAAGAUGGUGAAGGCUUCUCUAUCCCAGCCUUUGCUGCUUCAUCCCAAUUACCAGUUUCCUCAAAGGAACGAAUCAAUCUCGUUGUUUGAAGGCCAUCCAUGACCGGCAUGCACACAUCCUGCAAGAUUAAAUUUGUAAGUGGUUGCUAAUAAACUCCAAGUCUUUCAGAACUCGAAUGCAGACGUAAAACUUGAGCAGAUUUAAACCCUGUAGAAAGCAACUCUUAUAUGCAGUAGGGAAGGAAAGAGAGGAAGGAAUUACCAUCAAGACAAGAUCAUAACUAUGGUACUGAAUUGCACGGACAGCUUCUACACCAUUGCUCACAACAUCUAUUGUGUGGCCUAACUGCUUCAUCAUUGACCGCGUCACCAUUACAUUAAUUUUAUUAUCUUCCACCAGGAGGAUCUUUGGCUUUGAGAUAGAAUUUGAUGCUUCUCGGCUGCUGUUUAAUGUGGACUGAAAACCGCUGUCAGAUCUCCCCUGCCUCUCCGCUGGCAGCUGGGGCUCAGUUAUCUUCUCUUUCACAUCCACCUCUCUGCUUGUCUCUGAGCAACUUGACACAUCUCUGGUAGAAACUUUGUUCUCAGCAUUUACAACAUUGUGAUGAUGCUUGUCUCUGCAAAUUGCUCUUUCAUUAUCGUGGUCUGGGCUGUGACUAAAUGAACUUUCAGGCUCAGGUGAUAUCUCUAAAGCUUCAGCAACAGAACAAGCAUCCUCAAAUAAAUCCAUCUCCUUUGUUUGACCAUUACUCGUGGGAAAUGAAUAACAAUUCUCUGAGAACCCAUUAAUUUUAUGCGAAUUUACAUAGCCAAUAUUAUGUGCUAAUAAAUUUUGGGUUCUGCUAGAUCCAUUAGAAGAAAAUAGGGAACCCAAAGUACGUGGCUGGAAUUGGAAAAAGCCAGCCGUUGCAUCAUCAUCCGUAGCACCAUGAUCAUCCAUAUCUGAGAGGUUGUCAUCCGCGUCAUCAGAAUGAUCACAUGAUAGAGAAACCUUAUAAGAAGCAAGAAGAGGGAAGGCAAAUUGUAUCAAUUGUGGCGGGGGAAAACAUUAUUGUUGAUGGAAGGAAGAAUUCACCAGCUGUUUACAUAUUGCGAGGCCAAGUCCUGUCCCACCGUACUUACGGGCAUGAUCGGCACUGACUUGCAUGUACUUCUUAAAAAGUGUAUGCCAAUUCCAGUGUCAUAUACAUCACAGCGAAUCCAAACUGUUGUUUCAGUUGUGGAUUGAUUAGCAGUUGAUCCAGCAGACCCAUUCUGAGAUCCUUCUUUUGCAAAAGGCGGCUCUGGGACUACAUAAAGUUUUACUCCUACCUUUCCUUCAUGUGUAAACUUGAUAGCAUUGCUGAAGAGAAAGAAAGGUUGUUCACAUAACAUGCAAGAAAUGAAAGUAAUGAAUACUAAUCAUUCAGGAAGAUUUUCUCA